rnacentral:rRNA from 1 species
GACGAACGCUGGCGGCGUGCUUAACACAUGCAAGUCGAACGGAAAGGCCCUGCUUUUGUGGGGUGCUCGAGUGGCGAACGGGUGAGUAACACGUGAGUAACCUGCCCUUGACUUUGGGAUAACUUCAGGAAACUGGGGCUAAUACCGGAUAGGAGCUCCUGCUGCAUGGUGGGGGUUGGAAAGUUUCGGCGGUUGGGGAUGGACUCGCGGCUUAUCAGCUUGUGGGUGGGGUAGUGGCUUACCAAGGCUUUGACGGGUAGCCGGCCUGAGAGGGUGACCGGCCACAUUGGGACUGAGAUACGGCCCAGACUCCUACGGGAGGCAGCAGUGGGGAAUAUUGCACAAUGGGCGGAAGCCUGAUGCAGCAACGCCGCGUGCUGGAUGACGGCCUUCGGGUUGUAAACCGCUUUCGCCUGUGACGAAGCGUGAGUGACGGUAAUGGGUAAAGAAGCACCGGCUAACUACGUG